rnacentral:rRNA from 1 species
AUUGAACGCUGGCGGCAUGCUUUACACAUGCAAGUCGAGCGGCAGCGCGGCCUUCGGGCUGGCGGCGAGCGGCGAACGGGUGAGUAAUGCAUCGGAACAUGCCCAGUCGUGGGGGAUAACACUUCGAAAGAAGUGCUAAUACCGCAUACGUCCUGAGGGGGAAAGCGGGGGAUCGCAAGACCUCGCGCGAUUGGAGUGGCCGAUGUCAGAUUAGCUAGUUGGUGGGGUAAAGGCCUACCAAGGCGACGAUCUGUAGCUGGUCUGAGAGGAUGAUCAGCCACACUAGGACUGAGACACGGCCCAGACUCCUACGGGAGGCAGCAGUGGGGAAUUUUGGACAAUGGGGGCAACCCUGAUCCAGCCAUUCCGCGUGAGUGAAGAAGGCCUUCGGGUUGUAAAGCUCUUUCGGCAGGAACGAAACGGUGGGCUCUAACAUAGUCCGCUAAUGACGGUACCUGAAGAAGAAGCACCGGCUAACUACGUG